rnacentral:rRNA from 1 species
UGGGGAAUAUUGGACAAUGGGCGCAAGCCUGAUCCAGCCAUGCCGCGUGAGUGAUGAAGGCCCUAGGGUUGUAAAGCUCUUUCACCGGUGAAGAUAAUGACGGUAACCGGAGAAGAAGCCCCGGCUAACUUCGUGCCAGCAGCCGCGGUAAUACGAAGGGGGCUAGCGUUGUUCGGAAUUACUGGGCGUAAAGCGCACGUAGGCGGACAUUUAAGUCAGGGGUGAAAUCCCGGGGCUCAACCCCGGAACUGCCUUUGAUACUGGGUGUCUAGAGUUCGAGAGAGGUGAGUGGAAUUCCGAGUGUAGAGGUGAAAUUCGUAGAUAUUCGGAGGAACACCAGUGGCGAAGGCGGCUCACUGGCUCGAUACUGACGCUGAGGUGCGAAAGCGUGGGGAGCAAAACAGGAUUAGAUACCCUGGUAGUCCACGCCGUAAACGAUGGAAGCCAGCUGUCGGCAAGUUUACUUGUCGGU